UUGCUUCAGCAACAGCCAUGCUAAAGUUGGAACAUGAUAGAGAAGAUUAGCAUGCCCCUGCAUAAGGGUGACAUGAAAAUUUGUGAAGCAUUCCAUAUUUUU
ensembl:snRNA U6 U6 spliceosomal RNA